rnacentral:rRNA from 1 species
GUAGGGUGCAGGCGUUAAUCGGAAUUACUGGGCGUAAAGCGUGCGCAGGCGGCUCCUUAAGUCAGAUGUGAAAUCCCCGGGCUUAACCUGGGAACUGCGUUUGAAACUGAGGGGCUAGAGUGUGGAAGAGGGGGGUGGAAUUCCAGGUGUAGCAGUGAAAUGCGUAGAGAUCUGGAGGAACACCGAUGGCGAAGGCAGCCCCCUGGGCUAACACUGACGCUCAUGCACGAAAGCGUGGGGAGCAAACAGGAUUAGAUACCCUGGUAGUCCACGCCCUAAACGAUGUCAACUGGUUGUCGGGGAAGCAAUUCCUUGGUAACGAAGCUAACGCGUGAAGUUGACCGCCUGGGGAGUACGGCCGCAAGGUUA